rnacentral:tRNA from 1 species
AGCCCUUUGAUGUAAUGGAAACAUAUCAGAUUCUGACUCUGGAAUUGCAGGUUCAAAUCCUGUGAGGGCUG